UACAGGCUUAACACAUGCAAGUCGAGGGGAAACGGCAUUAAGUGCUUGCACUUUUUGGACGUCGACCGGCGCACGGGUGAGUAACGCGUAUCCAACCUUCCCAUGACUAAGGGAUAACCUGCCGAAAGCAGAUAAUCCUUAUGGUCUUCACUGACGGCAUCAGAUGUGAAGUAAAGAUUUAUCGGUUAUGGAUGGGGAUGCGUCUGAUUAGCUUGUUGGCGGGGUAACGGCCCACCAAGGCAACGAUCAGUAGGGGUUCUGAGAGGAAGGUCCCCCACAUUGGAACUGAGACACGGUCCAAACUCCUACGGGAGGCAGCAGUGAGGAAUAUUGGUCAAUGGGCGAGAGCCUGAACCAGCCAAGUAGCGUGCAGGAUGACGGCCCUAUGGGUUGUAAACUGCUUUUGUAUGGGGAUAAAGUCAGUCACGUGUGAUUGUUUGCAGGUACCAUACGAAUAAGGCCGGCUA
rnacentral:rRNA from 1 species